rnacentral:rRNA from 1 species
GUCCCUUUGUGUGUAUAUAGGGUCUAACCUGCCCACUGAAAUUUUAAAUGGCCGCAGUAAUUUGACUGUGCAAAGGUAGCAUAAUCAUUAGUUUUUUAAUUAAAAGCUUGUAUGAAGGGUUGGACGAGAUAAAUUCUGUCUCUAUUUAAAUUAAUUUAGAAUUUAACUUUUAAGUCAAAAGGCUUAAAUUUUAUUAAAAGACGAGAAGACCCUAUAGAUCUUUAUAAUUUUUUUUAUAAUUUUAAUUAAGGAUAUUUUAUUUUUUAUAAAAGUAAUUAUUUUAUUGGGGUAAUAGAAAGAUUAAAUAAAUUCUUUUUUAAUGUGAACAUUUAUUUAUGGUUUAAUGAUCCAAUUUUAUUGAUUAUAAGAUUAAGUUACCUUAGGGAUAACAGCGUAAUUUUUUUAGAGAGUUCAUAUCGAUAAAAAAGUUUGCGACCUCGAUGUUGGAUUAAAAAUUAUAUUAGGCGUAGAAGUUUAAUAUUUUGGUCUGUUCGACCAUUAAAUUUUU